rnacentral:rRNA from 1 species
UAGGGAAUCUUCCGCAAUGGACGCAAGUCUGACGGAGCAACGCCGCGUGAGUGAAGAAGGAUUUCGGUUCGUAAAACUCUGUUGUUAGAGAAGAACAGCGCAUAGAGUAACUGUUAUGCGUGUGACGGUAUCUAACCAGAAAGCCACGGCUAACUACGUGCCAGCAGGCGCGGUAAUACGUAGGUGGCAAGCGUUGUCCGGAUUUAUUGGGCGUAAAGCGAGCGCAGGCGGUCAAUUAAGUCUGAUGUGAAAGCCCCCGGCUCAACCGGGGAGGGUCAUUGGAAACUGGUUGACUUGAGUGCAGAAGAGGAGAGUGGAAUUCCAUGUGUAGCGGUGAAAUGCGUAGAUAUAUGGAGGAACACCAGUGGCGAAGGCGACUCUCUGGUCUGUAACUGACGCUGAGGUUCGAAAGCGUGGGUAGCAAACAGG